GGAUUAGUGGCGAACGGGUGAGUAACACGUGGGCAAUCUGCCCUUCACUCUGGGACAAGCCCUGGAAACGGGGUCUAAUACCGGAUAACACUCUGUCCCGCAUGGGACGGGGUUAAAAGCUCCGGCGGUGAAGGAUGAGCCCGCGGCCUAUCAGCUUGUUGGUGGGGUAAUGGCCUACCAAGGCGACGACGGGUAGCCGGCCUGAGAGGGCGACCGGCCACACUGGGACUGAGACACGGCCCAGACUCCUACGGGAGGCAGCAGUGGGGAAUAUUGCACAAUGGGCGAAAGCCUGAUGCAGCGACGCCGCGUGAGGGAUGACGGCCUUCGGGUUGUAAACCUCUUUCAGCAGGGAAGAAGCGAAAGUGACGGUACCUGCAGAAGAAGCGCCGGCUAACUACGUGCCAGCAGCCGCGGUAAUACGUAGGGCGCAAGCGUUGUCCGGAAUUAUUGGGCGUAAAGAGCUCGUAGGCGGCUUGUCACGUCGGAUGUGAAAGCCCGGGGCUUAACCCCGGGUCUGCAUUCGAUACGGGCUAGCUAGAGUGUGGUAGGGGAGAUCGGAAUUCCUGGUGUAGCGGUGAAAUGCGCAGAUAUCAGGAGGAACACCGGUGGCGAAGGCGGAUCUCUGGGCCAUUACUGACGCUGAGGAGCGAAAGCGUGGGGAGCGAACAGGAUUAGAUACCCUGGUAGUCCACGCCGUAAACGUUGGGAACUAGGUGUUGGCGACAUUCCACGUCGUCGGUGCCGCAGC
rnacentral:rRNA from 1 species